rnacentral:tRNA from 1 species
GGAAGUGUGGCUCAUUGGUAGGGCACAUACUUAACAUGCACCAGGCCCUGGGUUCAGUCCCCAGCACUUGCA